rnacentral:rRNA from 1 species
CCAGACUCCUACGGGAGGCAGCAGUGGGGAAUAUUGCACAAUGGGCGAAAGCCUGAUGCAGCAACGCCGCGUGAAGGAAGAAGGGUUUCGGCUCGUAAACUUCUAUCAACAGGGACGAAAGAAAUGACGGUACCUGAAUAAGAAGCCCCGGCUAACUACGUGCCAGCAGCCGCGGUAAUACGUAGGGGGCAAGCGUUAUCCGGAAUUACUGGGUGUAAAGGGUGAGUAGGCGGCAUGGUAAGCCAGAUGUGAAAGCCUUGGGCUUAACCCCGGGACUGCUCUUGGAACUGCGUGGCUGGAGUGCAGGAGGGGCAGGCGGAAUUCCUGGUGUAGCGGUGAAAUGCGUAGAUAUCAGGAGGAACACCGGUGGCGAAGGCGGCUUACUGGACUGUAACUGACGUUGAGGCUCGAAAGCGUGGGGAGCAAACAGGAUUAGAUACCCCCGUAA